rnacentral:rRNA from 1 species
UACGGAGGGUGCAAGCGUUAUCCGGAUUCACUGGGUUUAAAGGGUGCGUAGGUGGGCAGGUAAGUUAGUGGUGAAAUCUCCGGGCUUAACCCGGAAACUGCCGUUGAUACUAUUUGUCUUGAAUAUUGUGGAGGUAAGCGGAAUAUGUCAUGUAGCGGUGAAAUGCUUAGAUAUGACAUAGAACACCAAUUGCGAAGGCAGCUUACUACACAACGAUUGACGCUGAGGCACGAAAGCGUGGGGAUCAAACAGG